ACAGUUUUGCUAGGCUGGGCCACUCCUUUGGCCAUCCUAGGUCUCGUGUACAGUCGUCCCCUCCGCUCCUCGCCUCCUCUCCCGAGUCCCGAACGGCCGAUCCCGACGCCGGCUGCGUGGCUCGCCUCAGAGCCCCAGCCGUAUCCUGCCACCCUUGUCCAUGAGCGCCCGCUAUCAGCGCAGCUAGUCCCUCCCUCCGCCCGCUAUCUUGAGCGGUGGUGAUGGAGUUUACUUUCGAGGAUGCAGCGGAACUGUGCGCGCUCGUUUCGAAUCAGCAAUCCCACGUCGACGAGAAGCGGAGGUGGCUGGAGUCAAUGAUCCUCAGACCGGAUGGCUGCAUCAGGCGCGCGAAGCGACCCAAGUUUUUGCAUGAAGUGUACUUGCCUGAGUCAUAUAUCAGGAGUGAUGACUGGGGACCAUUUUUUCAGAGAUCUUGUGAUAAAGUGAGAGGUAACAUUAAAAGGAUUUGGAGUUCAGAGUGCAAUGGCUAUACCCAUCACUUAGUUCUGGAGGGCCUCCAGCUUUUUGACUUCCAGAAGAAGGAAAAUGAACCACUUGGACCAGAAUAUCUUGGUGUCAUGCAGGACACAAUCAGCAAAUUGACCUAUGAAACACUUCAGUCAGUGGCUUGUGUUGUCAGUCAUGACAAGGUUACUUUUGAUAAGACUAGGUCUGUAAUGGAAAAAAUUGUAAAUUCUCACCUUCCAAGUUACUUGGCCAGCUUGGAUCAGAAUGAUAUUGCAUGCCAGCUAUUCAAUAUUUUUAGAAAUCCAUGCAGCUAUCGAUCUGGUUCUGUGAGGCUUGUCACACCUGUGUCACCACAACUUUUGUCUUCUAUUAAGCAUGCGUUGGAUGAGCUUGAUGGAAUGCCAAUGCAGGGUCUUGUUGCAAUGAAUAGGAAGAUUAAAGGAAAAUCAUGUGCCCCAAAAUUUGGAUUAACUGCUAGCUUUUCCAAAAGAAUGCAUAUAAUCAAAAUGAUAAGAAAAAGGUGCAACAAGAUUUUAACAGAACUUGAGGAAGGUAAUUACCUGCCAAAGGAAUUAGCAAAGGCAAUGUCAGUGGUGAACUUAUAUCAGAAGCAGAAGCUGAAAAAUGUGAGUAUUUCACAAUCAGAGUUUUUCCCCUUUGCAAAAGAAACUAUUUCUUUGCAGAAUGAUAUCCUGAAUGCCCUUUGGUCACUUCCAAAUCUCAAGCAUGCGAAGCUGAAAUUGCUGCACACCAUACUGGAUCAUGAUUCUAAAUUUGAAAGGAAGCACUUAGCAACUUUGAGGAACUACUUGACAGAAUGUUUGUUUGGAUGUGAUGAUGGUCUACCAGAUGUGGCCCUCCAAGCCAUAGCCUCUAUAAAUCAGAUUUCUAGAUGUCAGCAUGUUGUGUUAACGGAAGAGAGGGAGGAUGCUGAGGUAGAUGCUGUACUGAACUUGAGCAGUCAUCUCAAAGCUUUAGCUCAUUGUUGUAUAAAAGAAUGUUCAUGCGAAGAGUUGAUUAGCUUAGGAAAUGAUAGCUGCAAUGAGGAUAACGAUUUCAUACUGUCUGGGACCAAUUACUUCAAUUCAAGCUCCCAGCAGCAGGAGGUGCAUGAGCCUUGUUGCUCUAGUAGUUUAUUGGGCAUUGAUAUUAUGAGAGAGAAUUGCUGGGGCGAAACUAGUGGCGAUACAUGUAAUGUCUCUAGAGCUGAGGAUUCUGGUUCCAAAUCAGAAGUACUUAGGAAACCAUGUGACAGGGCUGAAGACUCUGGAAGCACUAGGCAUUGCAGAGACAAUGAAGCUGUUGACAGUGGCAUGGAGCCAUACGCGGAGAUGCCUGUUGAUGCUAACCAUUUGAAGGAGCCAAGAUGUUCAGAGAUUAAUGGGAUCUGUGAUGAAACGUCAAUAUUGGCCCAUUCCAUUAUUGUGCAGAUUUUAGACGAAUGGCUGUCGACGGAGAACAAUGGAGUGGACGAACUGAUUAGACGCCAUCUUGGAGGGGGAUUGACGCUUCAAGGUCCCCAAGUUUAUACUUCACAGAUCGCAGUCGUAAGCUGAUGGGUAGUCCUUUGCUAGACGAUGAUAAUAGGCCCGCUAAUUCAGCAGAGACGGACAUUUUUAUUCAUGCUGUGGAACGUGUCUUGCCUAAUUUGCCAAAAAGUUGCAUAGACAAAAUCAAGAGACUAAUGGGCUGAGCUAGCAAGUACGUGAUAGCGACCUGCAAUGGCACCUAUGGACCCGGUAUGACAUGUAUAAUGACUGAGCAGGCUAGAGCCUGAACAUAGUCAAUGAUAUGCUCAUGAGGUGAAACCAAUCGCUUAUGCAAGGGUCGAUGGCUGUUUGAAAUUGCUAGAACACAAACUGAAGACCGAUUUCGAGUUAUAUAGUGGACCUGAAAAUGUUCCUGAACUUUUAAAGGAUGUGCAGGAAGUGUUGUUCUUUCAGAUUUAUUUUUGUUUUUUAGUCUCAAUGUCUAGCGUCAUAGUUGUAAAGCACAUGAACUGCGAAAUUCUGCAGAUAAUGGCUGCAUUUUUUAUAAAUGUGAUUUUUAGGUACCAGCAGCCUAGCAACGGUCUUGUUUAUUGCAGUGGCCAACCAGUCAAUUGGUACUUAAAAAGACAUGUUUGUUUAAAUGAAUGAUUCAAGUGCAUGGUUUGUUAAUA